GACGAACGCUGGCGGCGUGCUUAACACAUGCAAGUCGAACGGAAAGGCCCUUCGGGGUACUCGAGUGGCGAACGGGUGAGUAACACGUGGAUGAUCUGCCCUGCACUUUGGGAUAAGCCUGGGAAACUGGGUCUAAUACCGGAUAGGACCACGGCAUUCAUGUGCUGUGGUGGAAAGCUUUUGCGGUGUGGGAUGGGCCCGCGGCCUAUCAGCUUGUUGGUGGGGUAAUGGCCUACCAAGGCGACGACGGGUAGCCGGCCUGAGAGGGUGACCGGCCACACUGGGACUGAGAUACGGCCCAGACUCCUACGGGAGGCAGCAGUGGGGAAUAUUGCACAAUGGGCGCAAGCCUGAUGCAGCGACGCCGCGUGAGGGAUGACGGCCUUCGGGUUGUAAACCUCUUUCGCCAGGGACGAAGCGCAAGUGACGGUACCUGGAGAAGAAGGACCGGCCAACUACGUG
rnacentral:rRNA from 1 species